CCAUUAGAGCUUUACGUAAUUUGUGGGCGUCGACUUACGAUGAAAAAUUGCAAAAACUACUAUUACAGGUCACUUAUACGACGAGAUGGUUCGGUAAGGCAUUAUCUUCAAGUUUUAAGCUCAAUUAGGAUUCUUUAAUCACACGUUCGCAAACAUCCGCAAACGGUAGCUACUGACUACAUUGCGGUGAGGUUAAUUUCAACUAGUGAUCCUUUAUAGAGAGAUAAGCGGAAAUAAAAUGGAAUGAUUUGGCAACAGACCAACAGUGCUGAUUUUGCUCGGCGUCGAGAAUAAUAUUGUAACACGCUUUGAGUUACAUCUCGCAUAGAAAUUUACCGCAUCUGAAAUAGUUCAAACCGUAAUGCAACCAAUGGUCGUUCUGUUACCUAUUUAUUAUACAUUUCAUGUAUGGUUCAUUGUAUAUGGUAGAAUAAUAGAACAUCUAGUUGAUAUUACUGUCACUUGUAAAAUUAUUGUCCAUUUAUUGUUCGAAAUGGUCCCACUAUGAGCAUGCAUUUUCAAUCCUCAACUGAACCAUAGCUAUUGAUGUGCCGACUUCAGUCCGGCUUCGAAUCGGCCGUGUGUUUGUUUACGAAAUUAGAUUUUUGCAAAUUUCCCUUUCAAAUUAUCGUUUUUCGCUUGUUUGUAGCUUAAAACUCGGUAUUAAAUGUUAGAAUUCUGUACAAAAUGUUUACAAGGAAUACUACACUCAUGAAGAACAUUCCGGAUCAUCAUAAUUGUGCUUCGAAAAUGUAUUUCGUUUGCGGCAAUCAUCUAUGGAUUAUAUGCGGCUGAUGAAUCUACAGAGGAGGCUAUGGGGCACCCGGAAUAUAUCAAGCAGAUCCGAAACAUAAUUCUGAUACAGAUUGGUUGACCUACCGGCUCCCGGAUCUUUGUUGAACUUCCUCAGAAACAGUUUUCAUCUACGUUCAUUAUGUUAUGCGUACUGGCGAAAUAAAUCGUUGUGUCCCAUUAUUGCA